rnacentral:misc_RNA from 1 species
GAUGAAGAACGUAGCGAAAUGCGAUAAGUAAUGUGAAUUGCAGAAUUCAGUGAAUCAUCGAAUCUUUGAACGCACCUUGCGCCCUUUGGCCAUUCCGAAGGGCAUGCCUGUUUGAGUAUCAUGAACACCUCAACUCUUUAUGGUUUUCCAUGAUGAGCUUGGACUUUGGGGGUUUUGCUGGCCUAUGGUCGGCUCCUCUAAAAUAAAUCAGCUUACCGGUGUUUGGUGGGUAUCAUGGGUGUGAUAACUAUCUACGCUUGUGGUUUUUCCACCAGGUAACCUUCGACAGCGGAGGUUCACUGGAGCUCAUAGAUGUCUCUCCUCAGCGAGGACAGCCCUUUGAAUGUUUGAUCUCAAAUCAGGUAGGGCUACCCGCUGAACUUAAGCAUAUCAAUAAGCGGAGGA